rnacentral:rRNA from 1 species
UACGAAGGGGGCAAGCGUUGUUCGGAUUUACUGGGCGUAAAGGGAGUGUAGGCGGUUCUCCAAGUCAGACGUGAAAGCCCGGGGCUCAACCCCGGAAUUGCGUUUGAGACUGUAGAACUUGAGUGUCUGAGGGGUAAGCGGAAUUUCCAGUGUAGAGGUGAAAUUCGUAGAUAUUCGCAAGAACACCAGUGGCGAAGGCGGCUUACUGGUCCGGUUCUGACGCUGAGGCGCGAAAGCGUGGGGAGCAAACAGG